rnacentral:rRNA from 1 species
UACGGAGGAUCCUAGUGUUAUCCGGAUUUAUUGGGUUUAAAGGGUGCGUAGGCGGCUUUUUAAGUCAGCGGUGAAAUUUUGCAGCUUAACUGUAACAGUGCCGUUGAUACUGGGGAGCUAGGAUUUGGUUGCUGUGGGUGGAAUGUGUGGUGUAGCGGUGAAAUGCUUAGAGAUCACACAGAAUAUCGAUUGCGAAGGCAGCUCACAAAGCCAAGAUUGACGCUGAGGCACGAAAGUGUGGGGAUCAAACAGGAUUAGA